GUCGACGAUGAAGCCCAGCUUGCUGGGUGGAUUAGUGGCGAACGGGUGAGNAACACGUGAGUAACCUGCCCUUAACUCUGGGAUAAGCCUGGGAAACUGGGUCUAAUACCGGAUAGGAGCGUCUACCGCAUGGUGGGUGUUGGAAAGAUUUAUCGGUUUUGGAUGGACUCGCGGCCUAUCAGCUUGUUGGUGAGGUAAUGGCUCACCAAGGCGACGACGGGUAGCCGGCCUGAGAGGGUGACCGGCCACACUGGGACUGAGACACGGCCCAGACUCCUACGGGAGGCAGCAGUGGGGAAUAUUGCACAAUGGGCGAAAGCCUGAUGCAGCGACGCCGCGUGAGGGAUGACGGCCUUCGGGUUGUAAACCUCUUUCAGUAGGGAAGAAGCGAAAGUGACGGUACCUGCAGAAGAAGCACCGGCUAACUACGUGCCAGCAGCCGCGGUAAUACGUAGGGUGCGAGCGUUAUCCGGAAUUAUUGGGCGUAAAGAGCUCGUAGGCGGUUUGUCGCGUCUGUCGUGAAAGUCCGGGGCUUAACCCCGGAUCUGCGGUGGGUACGGGCAGACUAGAGUGCAGUAGGGGAGACUGGAAUUCCUGGUGUAGCGGUGGAAUGCGCAGAUAUCAGGAGGAACACCGAUGGCGAAGGCAGGUCUCUGGGCUGUAACUGACGCUGAG
rnacentral:rRNA from 1 species